rnacentral:rRNA from 1 species
UACGUAGGGUGCGAGCGUUGUCCGGAAUUACUGGGCGUAAAGAGCUCGUAGGCGGUCUGUCGCGUCGGCUGUGAAAACCUGGGGCUCAACUCCGGGCCUGCAGUCGAUACGGGCAGGCUAGAGUUCGGCAGGGGAGACUGGAAUUCCUGGUGUAGCGGUGAAAUGCGCAGAUAUCAGGAGGAACACCGGUGGCGAAGGCGGGUCUCUGGGCCGAUACUGACACUGAGGAGCGAAAGCGUGGGGAGCGAACAGG